UUUCUCAAUCUUCUUCGGGAUCCAAGGCCGUUUGAACAGUCUGGAUUUUUUGGGAAAGCUUCGUUCUUGGAAAUGGAUUCUGUCCAUCUUUGCCUUUUCAUCGACACCAGAAUUGAUUUGUGGGCUGUAUCUGCUUUACUAUUUUAGGGUCUUCGAGAGACAGAUAGGUUCCAAUAAAUACUCUGUCUUUGUCAUGUUUCCA